rnacentral:rRNA from 1 species
CACUCCUACGGGAGGCAGCAGUGGGGAAUAUUGGACAAUGGGCGCAAGCCUGAUCCAGCCAUGCCGCGUGAGUGAUGAAGGACCUAGGGUUGUAAAGCUCUUUCACCGGAGAAGAUAAUGACGGUAUCCGGAGAAGAAGCCCCGGCUAACUUCGUGCCAGCAGCCGCGGUAAUACGAAGGGGGCUAGCGUUGUUCGGAAUUACUGGGCGUAAAGCGCACGUAGGCGGAUCGAUCAGUCAGGGGUGAAAUCCCAGGGCUCAACCCUGGAACUGCCUUUGAUACUGUCGAUCUGGAGUAUGGAAGAGGUGAGUGGAAUUCCGAGUGUAGAGGUGAAAUUCGUAGAUAUUCGGAGGAACACCAGUGGCGAAGGCGGCUCACUGGUCCAUUACUGACGCUGAGGUGCGAAAGCGUGGGGAGCAAACAGGAUUAGAUACCCGGGUAGUCCCAUGAU